rnacentral:rRNA from 1 species
GGCACCACAGGAGUGGAGCUGGCGGCUCAUUUGACUCAACACGGGAAAACUACAGUCCCAGACAUAGUGAGGAUGACAGAUGAUAGCUCUUUCUGAUUCUAUGGGUGGUGGUGCAUGCCCGUUCUUAGUUGUGGAGUGAUUGUCUGGUAAAUUCCGUUAACGAACGAGACCUUAGCCUACUAACUAGUCGACUCAAUCUCGAUUGAUUCCGACUUCUUAGAGGGACUUUGUAGUUUAAACACAAGGAAGUUUGAGGCAAUAACAGGUCUGUGAUGCCCUUAGAUGUCCUGGGCCGCACGCGUGCUACACUGACGCAUACAGCGAGUACUUCCCAGCUCCGAGAGGCAGCUGGUAAUCAGCAAUAUGCGUCGUGAUGGGGAUAGAUCUUUGGAAUUAUAGAUCUUGAACGAGGAAUUCCUAGUAAGCGCAAGUCAUUACCUUGCGCUGAUUAAGUCCCUGCCCUUUGUACACACCGCCCGUCGCUCCUACCGAUUUCGAGUGAUCCGGUGAACCUUUUGGACCGCGCCUAGCCUCGUGCCUGGUGUGGGAAAUCAAGUAAAUCUUGUCACUUAGAGGAAGGAGAAGUCGUAACAAGGUUUCCGUAGGUGAACCUGCAG